rnacentral:rRNA from 1 species
GAUGAACGCUAGCUACAGGCUUAACACAUGCAAGUCGAGGGGCAGCGGGAUUGAAGCUUGCUUCAAUUGCCGGCGACCGGCGCACGGGUGAGUAACGCGUAUCCAACCUUCCGUACACUCAGGGAUAGCCUUUCGAAAGAAAGAUUAAUACCUGAUGGUAUCUUAAGCACACAUGUAAUUAAGAUUAAAGAUUUAUCGGUGUACGAUGGGGAUGCGUUCCAUUAGGUAGUAGGCGGGGUAACGGCCCACCUAGCCAACGAUGGAUAGGGGUUCUGAGAGGAAGGUCCCCCACAUUGGAACUGAGACACGGUCCAA